rnacentral:misc_RNA from 1 species
GAGUAAAAGUCGUAACAAGGUUUCCGUAGGUGAACCUGCGGAAGGAUCAUUAUUGUAUAACCGAGGUGCGAGGGCUGUCGCUGACCCGAAAGGUCGUGCACGCCCGAGUGCCCUCACACACAUCCAUCUCACCCCUAUGUGCACCACCGCGUGGGUCCCCCUUUGGCUUGUUCGGAGGGGGGCUUACGUUUUCACACAAACUCUGUAUGCAGUGUAGAAUGUAUUUUUUGUUUUUGCGAUCACGCAAUCAAUACAACUUUCAACAACGGAUCUCUUGGCUCUC